GUCCAAAAAAUUCAUUACUCAAUUGCAAUAGAUGUGUGGUCUGUUGUCUGUAUAUUCGGUACACAUUAUUUUCUAUUUUUUAAAAUCAUUCCCACUUUUAUAUUUAGAUAAUCGUUCCAUCUUAUUUUGAAUUCCAAUCGAGCUUGCAAUUUAAAAAAAAAAGAAAUGAAAUGAAAGGAAGUGAAAGGAAAAGAAAAGAAAGCAAAAUAAAGGAAAAGAAAAA
rnacentral:lncRNA from 1 species